GUACCCGUGGUGCCCAUGGUGGCCAUGGUGGCCAUGUCCCGGUGCCCAUGGUGCCCAUGGUGGCCAUGUCGCAGUGCCCGUGGUGGCCACGGUGCCCAUGGUGGCCAUGUCCCAGUGCCCAUGGUGCCCAUGGUGGCCAUGUCCCAGUGCCCAUGGUGCCCAUGGUGGCCAUGGUGGCCAUGUCCCAGUGCCCAUGGUGACCAUGGUGCUCAUGGUGGCCAUGUCCCAGUGCCCAUGGUGCCCAUGGUGCUCAUGGUGGCCAUGUCCCAGUGCCCAUGGUGGCCAUGGUGGCCAUGUCCCGGUACCCGUGGUGGCCACGGUGCCCAUGGUGGCCAUGUCCCAGUGCCCAUGGUGCUCAUGGUGGCCAUGUCCCAGUGCCCAUGGUGCUCAUGGUGCUCAUGGUGGCCAUGUCCCAGUGCCCAUGGUGACCAUGGUGGCCAUGUCCCGGUGCCCAUGGUGCCCAUGGUGGCCAUGUCGCAGUGCCCGUGGUGGCCACGGUGCCCAUGGUGGCCAUGUCCCAGUGCCCAUGGUGCCCAUGGUGGCCAUGUCCCAGUGCCCAUGGUGCCCAUGGUGCCCAUGGUGGCCAUGUCCCAGUGCCCAUGGUGCCCAUGGUGCUCAUGGUGGCCAUGUCCCAGUGCCCAUGGUGGUCAUGGUGGCCAUGGUGGCCAUGUCCCGGUACCCGUGGUGGCCACGGUGCCCGUGUGGCAGUGUCCUGGCGCUGUGCCCGCAGGGGUGACGUGGACGUCUCUGCCAUCUGCCGCUACCACAUCCUGGAGGUGCGCAAAGCCUUCGAGGGGCCCUACAAGGAGUACCGGGAGCAGGCGCAGAAAUGGGGCCGAUACUCGGGCGAGGUGCCCAGCCCGCGGCCCGGCGCGUGCAUCACGGACUGGCACCGGCAGAACGGCUUUGGCAGCUCGCUGGAGCUGCCCGACAACACGCUCAACUUCGCCAAGAAGCACCCGCUGAUGGACGAGGCCGUGGCCCCGCAGCGCGGCCGGCCCCUGCUGCUCAAGAGGGACUCCAACUUCACCCAGCUCGUGGUGGAUCGCGUGGCCGGCCUGGACGGGAACACCUACGAGGUGCUCUUCAUCGGGACAGGUGGGGACAGGGGACAUGGGGACAUGGGGACACCUACGAGGUGCUCUUCAUCGGGACAGGUGGGGACAGGGGACACUGAUGGGGACAUGGGGACAGGGAUGGGGACAUGGGGACACCUACGAGGUGCUCUUCAUCGGGACAGGUAGGGACGGGGAUAGGGGACAGGGAU
rnacentral:lncRNA from 1 species